rnacentral:rRNA from 2 species
GGACUACACGGGUAUCUAAUCCUGUUUGAUCCCCACGCUUUCGUGCCUCAGCGUCAAUAACCGUGUAACGAGCUGCCUUCGCAAUCGGUGUUCUAUGUCAUAUCUAAGCAUUUCACCGCUACAUGACAUAUUCCGCUCAUCUCCACGAUAUUCAAGACAGAUAGUAUCAACGGCAGUUUCCGGGUUAAGCCCGGAGAUUUCACCACUGACUUACCUGCCCACCUACGCACCCUUUAAACCCAGUGAAUCCGGAUAACGCUUGCACCCUCCGUAUUACCGCGGCUGCUGGCAC